AGUGAACGCUGGCGGUAGGCCUAACACAUGCAAGUCGAACGGCAGCACAGUAAGAGCUUGCUCUUACGGGUGGCGAGUGGCGGACGGGUGAGGAAUACAUCGGAAUCUACUUUUUCGUGGGGGAUAACGUAGGGAAACUUACGCUAAUACCGCAUACGACCUACGGGUGAAAGCAGGGGAUCUUCGGACCUUGCGCGAUUGAAUGAGCCGAAGUCGGAUUAGCUAGUUGGCGGGGUAAAGGCCCACCAAGGCGACGAUCCGUAGCUGGUCUGAGAGGAUGAUCAGCCACACUGGAACUGAGACACGGUCCAGACUCCUACGGGAGGCAGCAGUGGGGAAUAUUGGACAAUGGGCGCAAGCCUGGUCCAGCCAUACCGCGUGGGUGAAGAAGGCCUUCGGGUUGUAAAGCCCUUUUGUUGGGAAAGAAAAGCAGCAGGUUAAUACCCCGCUGUUCUGACGGUACCCAAAGAAUAAGCACCGGCUAACUUCGUG
rnacentral:rRNA from 1 species